rnacentral:misc_RNA from 1 species
GGACGACCAGCCACACUGGGACUGAGACACGGCCCAGACUCCUACGGGAGGCAGGGGAAUUUUGGACAAUGGGGAAACCCCGAUCCAGCCAUCCCGCGUGUGCGAUGAAGGCCUGCUGUAAAGCACUUUUGGCAGGAAAGAAACGGCACGGAUAAUACCUCGUGCAACUGACGGUACCUUGCAGAAUAAGCACCGGCUAACUACGCCAGCAGCCGCGGUAAUACGUAGGGUGCAAGCGUUAAUCGGAAUUAAGUUACUGGCGUAAAGCGUGCGCAGGCGGUUCAAAAGAUGUGAAAUCCCAGAGCUUAACUUUGAACUGCAUUUUUAACUACCGAGCUAGAGGCCGAGGAGGUGGAAUUCCGCGUAGCAGUGAAAGGCGUAGAUAUGCGGAGGAACACCGAUGGCGAAGGUAGCCUCCCUGGGAUAACACUGACGCUAUAUGCACGAAAGCGUGGGGAGCAAACAGGGAUUAGAUACCCUGGUAGUCCACGCCCUAAAACGAUGUCAACUAGCUGUUGGGGCCUGGCCUUGGUAGCGCAGCUAAUCGCGUGAAGUUGACCGCCUGGGAGUACGGUCAAGAUUAAACUCAAAGGAAUUGACGGGGACCCGCACAAGCGGUGGAUGAUGUGGAUUAAUUCGAUGCAAACGCGAAAAACCUUACCUACCCUUGACAUGUCUGGAAUCCCGAAGAGAUUUGGGAGUGCUCGCAAGAGAACCGGGAACACAGGUGCUGUAUGGCUGUCGUCAGCUCGUGUCGUGAGAUGUUGGGUUAAGUCCCGCAACGAGCGCAACCCUUGUCAUUAGUUGCUACGAAAGGGCACUCUAUCGAGACUGCCGGUGACAAACCGGAGGAAGGUGGGGAUGACGUGUCAAGUCCUCAUGGCCCUUAUGGGUAGGGCUUCACACGUCAUACAAUGGUCGGGACAGUGGUCGCCAACCCGCGAGGGGGAGCCAACUCAGAAACCUGAUCGUAGUCUCGGAUCGCAGUCUGCAACCUGACUGCGUGAAGUCGGAAUCGCUAGUAAUCGCGGGAUCAGCAUGUCGCGGUGAAUACGUCUGGGUCUUGUACACACCGCCCGUCACACCAUGGGAGUGGGUUUUACCAGAAGUAGUUAGCUCAACUGUAAGGAGGGCGAUUACCAGAAGAUUCAUGACUGGGGUGAAGUCGCAUCAAGGUAA